rnacentral:misc_RNA from 1 species
GAUGAAGAACGUAGCGAAAUGCGAUAAGUAAUGUGAAUUGCAGAAUUCAGUGAAUCAUCGAAUCUUUGAACGCACCUUGCACCCUUUGGCAUUCCGAAGGGUAUGCUCGUUUGAGUGUCAUUGUACUCUCACACUCUCCGAUCCUAUGGAUUCGGGGAGCGGUGGACUUGGGUGUUGCUGCCUUUCCCUGUGGCUCACCUCAAAUGCGUCAGUGCACCUCUUGGUUGGACAUAGUACGGCGUGAUAAGUGUCUUCGCCGGCACCUCGCAAGAGGGUGGCCGAUCGGGAGCUCUGCGCUUUCAAACCGUCUUCGGACAAUUUCUGACAUCUUGACCUCAAAUCGAGUAGGACUACCCGCUGAACUUAAGCAUAUCAAUAAGCGGAGAA